UGGGGCAAGGGCCAAGAAGCAAGAGAAUCUUGCUCCUUCCUCUGUGAACCAUCAACGCUGUGCGGAGCAGUGCGGAUCUCUGUAACCAGACCAUACUUCAAACAUCAUUGGUUUAAAGGCAAGAGGAUCCUAAAUUCCUCAUGUAUCAACAUAAAGCAGUGUAGCCCUUGUCCCUCCCUGAGUAUGCUUCUCUGAGGCUCACAAAGGGUGAAGAUGGAUGCUCAGAGGGAAGCAGCCCAAUCUGGAGCCCAUGGAUGAAGCACCUUGACCCCAGCAGAUUCCUGAGUGUCCAGGGUCUGACCCCGUGGUUCUCUCCACUCUCCAGCAUUCAGGGCUCCCUCACUGUGUCUGUAGAUUGUGUACACCACCCUCCUCCCACCCAGCUGGCAGCUCACAUGGUGGGGCAGGAACAAGAAAAGCUUCCUUCCUGUUCUUUCAUCUCCAAAUACAAGUUAGCAUGGGGGAUCGGGGAAUUGAAGGUGGGG
ensembl:lncRNA